GCAAUUGUACUCUGUGAACCCCGCCAGGACCGGAAGGUAGCAACGGUAGCAGAUCUAUGAUGUGC
rnacentral:SRP_RNA from 1 species